GCAGGUGGAAGGUUUGGCGGGCAGAUUGUGCAAUACAACAGUCGGAUUCAUGACGCUCAGCAAGUGUUUGAUGAAAUUUCUCAACCAAUACAGAUAAGAGAAUUGCAAUGAGUUUUAUGGAAAUAUCCUUCUCCUGGUAAACUAAAUUAAAUUAUAAAUGGUUCUCUUCCAUUUGGUGCAAAUAGUAUUGCAUUUCGUGAUGGUUUAAUUUCGGAUAGUUUGGAUUUGUGACUAAUUUUGUUAGGUCAUCAGUUUUAGGAGCUGAGUUAUGGGCUAUUUAAAAAUAACAUCAAUUUAUUAAAAAAAUAAAAUUGUAAAAUAAGAAUAAAAGAUUUUGUAAACCUUUAUUAUUCAAUUUUAUUCUUUCUAAAUAUGCUGCAUCACAAUUGGAAAAAUAUUAAAUUCACAAAAAAUAAAUAAAUACAAAUUAAGUAAGUCAUUUAUCAUCAUUAUCAAAAUUCUACAAAUAUAUCAAUAAUUUCAAGGAUACUUUUCAAACUUAUUAACUCAAUUAGGCGCAACUCGUGUAAUACUACUUGAAGAAAUAAACCCAUCAAGUCAAUCUCUACAGUUUUUUCCAAUUUUUCUCUAAAAACACAGCUCCUUUUGUUUAUGGUUCAGUACUAAAGAAAGGGGUUCUGGUGGGCGUUUUGCCCACCCUUUUCCCCUGUUUUCUUUUCUUUUCUUUUUUUUUUUUACUGUUAUUUGUUGUUUUGUAGUUUCUCAGUGGUUAGUCUUCACUUUUUGAGAGUUUGGAAUCCCCUGCCUAGUCAGUCGGUGUAUGGAAGCGGUUACAGCGGUGUAUGUCGUGCUUUUCCCGAUUUGUUGUGUCGCGGAUAGCGAUCUUCUGGGUUGAUGAUAGGAAGGCAAGUCUCUGCGACAGAUGCCUCCACACUUUGGA
rnacentral:lncRNA from 1 species